rnacentral:rRNA from 1 species
ACGGGGGGGGCAAGCGUUGUUCGGAAUUACUGGGCGUAAAGAGCUCGUAGGCGGUCUGUCGCGUCUGGUGUGAAAUCCCGAGGCUCAACCUCGGGCUUGCAUCGGGUACGGGCAGACUAGAGUGCGGUAGGGGAGACUGGAAUUCCUGGUGUAGCGGUGGAAUGCGCAGAUAUCAGGAGGAACACCGAUGGCGAAGGCAGGUCUCUGGGCCGCAACUGACGCUGAGGAGCGAAAGCAUGGGGAGCGAACAGGA